rnacentral:rRNA from 1 species
AGUCGACGGUUAAGCAUCUUCGGAUGUGUAUAAAGUGGCGAACGGCUGAGUAACACGUGGGCAACCUGCCCUUUGCACUGGGAUAGCCUCGGGAAACCGAGGUUAAUACCGGAUACUCCAUAUCCAUCGCAUGAUAGAUAUGGGAAAGCUCCGGCGGCAAAGGAUGGGCCCGCGGCCUGUUAGCUAGUUGGUGGGGUAGUGGCCUACCAAGGCAAUGAUGGGUAGCCGGGUUGAGAGACCGACCGGCCAGAUUGGGACUGAGACACGGCCCAGACUCCUACGGGAGGCAGCAGUGGGGAAUCUUGCACAAUGGGCGAAAGCCUGAUGCAGCGACGCCGCGUGCGGGAUGAAGGCCUUCGGGUUGUAAACCGCUUUCAGCAGGGACGAGGCCGCAAGGUGACGGUACCUGCAGAAGAAGCCCCGGCUAACUACGUGCCAGCAGCCGCGGUAAUACGUAGGGGGCAAGCGUUAUCCGGAUUCAUUGGGCGUAAAGCGCGCGUAGGCGGUCUGUUAGGUCAGGAGUCAAAUCUGGGGGCUCAACCCCUAUCCGCUCCUGAUACCGGCAGGCUUGAGUCUGGUAUGGGAAGGUGGAAUUCCAAGUGUAGCGGUGAAAUGCGCAGAUAUUUGGAAGAACACCAGUGGCGAAGGCGGCCUUCUGGGCCAUGACUGACGCUGAGGCGCGAAAGCUAGGGGAGCGAACAGGAUUAGAUACCCUGGUAG